GGGUAGUGGACGCAUGGAAUAGCCUUCCAGCUGAAGUGGCAGAGGUUAACACCGUAAAGGACUUUAACCCCUUAAGGACCAAACUUCUGGAAUAAAAGGGAAUCGUAACGUCACACGUCAUGUGUCCUUAAGGGGUUAAGCAUGCGUGGGAUAGGCAUUGGGCUAUCCUAACUAUAAGAUAAGGUCAGGGACUAAUGCAAGUAUUUAGAAAAUUGGG